UCUGUCUCCCCUCUCUGCCCCUCCCUUGCUCACACUCUAUCUCUUUCUCAAAAAUAAAAUAAAAACAUAAGAUGAGGCCUUUAGGGUGACUAUAUGGGAUCACUAUAGGGUGAAUAGUGUCCUCAUACAAGGUUUUUAGGGAGCACAUGCCAGCCACCGUGGGCACACAGGAAAUGACAGCUGUAAAUCUCAGGGGUAAUGACAGGGAUAAAUCUCAGCAAACCACCAUUCAACAGCAGCCAAUGGCUGCAGAGAAUCAAGAAUUAACCCACAGGCUGCAUGUUCCAGUUCAAUCCCUGGAAGAAAUGACCACCAGUAGCCAAUCACAAGAUACAUACCUCUCCACACCUGGACAGGAAUAACCCACACUUCUGCAAGCAACACCUUUGGUCAGACAUGCAGCUGCAAGGCCUCCAUUCCUUCUACCUGAAUCCAGGAUGCUCUUCCCCCAUCACUGCCAGCGUCAAGCUAGCCCUUUAGAUCCAACUACAUCGUGAUUUAUACUGUUUUGGGGACACAGCAAUUAUUUGCCUGAUGUCUACAUCUCCUACCCACUGAAAACUCCAUGAAGGAAGGUAAAAAGCUGAGUUUGUUCACCAAUGAAUCCCCUGCACCUAACACAGACUGUACAGAGGCCCUUGUGAGGAGUUUGAGUUUUAUUUUAAGUUUAAUAGAAAACCUUUGAAAAAUCUUACACAGUAGGUGAUGAGGUCACAUUUAUUGUCAGUGACUUAUUGAACAACCAAAACC